rnacentral:rRNA from 1 species
CAGUCGCCGCGGUAAUACGAAGGGUGCAAGCGUUAAUCGGAAUUACUGGGCGUAAAGCGCGCGUAGGUGGUUUGUUAAGUUGGAUGUGAAAUCCCCGGGCUCAACCUGGGAACUGCAUUCAAAACUGACUGACUAGAGUAUGGUAGAGGAUGGUGGAAUUCCCGGUGUAGGGGUGAAAUGCGUAGAGAUCGGGAGGAACAUCAGUGGCGAAGGCGACUAUCUGGGCCAACACUGACACUGAGGCACGAAAGCGUGGGGAGCAAACAGGAUUAGAUACCCCUGUAGUCCCUGUCUCUUAUAC